rnacentral:tRNA from 1 species
GAGGCUCAGUGGCAGAGCGCUUGCCUGGCAUGUAUGAGGCCCUGGGUUCAAUCCUCAGC